CGCGUCUUAAGCAUGCAAGUCGAGCGGCAAGGGGGAGCGAUCCCCCCCAGAGCGGCGGACUGGUGAGUAACGCGUGGGUGACCUGCCCUGGGGACGGGGAUAGCCGUUAGAAAUAGCGGGUAAUACCGGAUACGAGCGCCGGGCUGUGGCCUGGCGGGGAAAGGGGCUCUGGCCCCGCCCUGGGAGGGGCCCGCGUUCCAUUAGCUAGUUGGAGGGUAAAGGCCCGCCAAGGCGAUGAUGGAUAGCCGGCCUGAGAGGGUGGACGGCCACACUGGGACUGAGAUACGGCCCAGACUCCUACGGGAGGCAGCAGCUAAGAAUAUUCCGCAAUGGGCGAAAGCCUGACGGAGCGACGCCGCGUGGAUGAGGGAGGCCGAAAGGUUGUAAAGUCCUUUUGCGGAUGAAGAAUAAGGCGGGGAGGGAAUGCCCUGUUGAUGACGUUAGUCCGCGAAUAAGCCCCGGCUAAUUACGUGCCAGCAGCCGCGGUAACACGUAAGGGGCGAGCGUUGUUCGGAAUUAUUGGGCGUAAAGGGCGCGUAGGCGGUUAUGUAAGUCUGGCGUGAAAUACUCGGGCUCAACCCGGGAAUUGCGUUGGAAACUGUAUGACUAGAGUCAUGGAGGGGGAGUUGGAAUUCCGCGUGUAGGGGUGAAAUCUGUAGAUAUGCGGAAGAACACCGGUGGCGAAGGCGAACUUCUAGCCAAUGACAGACGCUGAGGCGCGAAAGUGCGGGGAGCAAACAGGAUUAGAUACCCUGGUAGUCCGCACUAUAAACGAUGUGCACUAGGUGUUGGGCCGAGCGGUUCAGUGCCGAAGCGAACGUGAUAAGUGCACCGCCU
rnacentral:rRNA from 1 species